rnacentral:rRNA from 1 species
CCUACGGGGGGCAGCAGUGAGGAAUAUUGGUCAAUGGACGAGAGUCUGAACCAGCCAAGUAGCGUGAAGGAUGACUGCCCUAUGGGUUGUAAACUUCUUUUAUAUGGGAAUAAAACGUUCCACGUGUGGGAUUUUGUAUGUACCAUAGGAAUAAGGAUCGGCUAACUCCGUGCCAGCAGCCGCGGGAAUACGGAGGAUCCGAGCGUUAUCCGGAUUUAUUGGGUUUAAAGGGAGCGUAGGUGGAUUGUUAAGUCAGUUGUGAAAGUUUGCGGCUCAACCGUAAAAUUGCAGUUGAAACUGGCAGUCUUGAGUACAGUAGAGGUGGGCGGAAUUCGUGGUGUAGCGGUGAAAUGCUUAGAUAUCACGAAGAACUCCGAUUGCGCAGGCAGUUCACUGGACUGCAACUGACACUGAGGCUCGAAAGUGUGGGUAUCAAACAGGAUUAGAUACCCGGGUAGUC